GUCUAGGGCCACUUCACUCGGAAUGCUCUCGAUAUCUUCUGAUCUCGGAAGCUAAGCAGGGUCGGGCCUGGUUAGUCCUUGGGUAGGAGAAGUGUGGCUACUACAUAAUAGGUGCUCAAAAUG
ensembl:rRNA 5S_rRNA 5S ribosomal RNA